CGCGCGUGACUACGCUACUGAAUCAAUCCAAAACAUAAUAAAAAACAUUUGGUUGAAAAUGUAAGAGUAAAAUAAUGAUAUCAUCUUACGCUUAGUGCCGUCUAAAGCUGGUGCCAGAAGACUCGGUAAGGCCAGAGGCGCGAACGUUAGUCAUCUUUAUCAGGCGUAAAGGGUUUGUAGGCUGCUUUAAAAUUUUUAUAAGUUAAUUAUUUAAUGAUAAUAUAAAUAAAAUUGAAUUAAAGCUAGAAUCUUAUAGAGGUUAAUUGAAUAACGCUUAGUUCAGGGCUAAUAUCCACACAGAUUAAGUAGAAUAUUAAAGGCGAAGGCUUCUCUCCAAGUAAAGAUUGACGCUGAGACACGAAGGUGAGGAAAGGAAAUAGGAUUAGAUACCCAAAUUACCCCUCACAGUCAACGAUGAAUGGUUGUUAUUAGUGUAUAUUAGUGGCGUAGUUAAGGCAUUUACCAUUCCGCCUUGUGAGUAAGACUGCAAAGUUAAAACCAAAAAAAUUAGUCGGUUUCGAAGCAAACGAAGUGAAGCAUGUUAUUUAAUG
rnacentral:rRNA from 1 species